CGAUCUCCCAGAGCAGCGCCGGCGGUCGCCACGCGGUCCAAGGCCGAACAGGCGGAGUCUCUUGACUCCUGCGAGCUCAAGGUUGUUGUCACUACGGCCGUGCUCCUUUCAACUGCCGGCAAUACCUGGCCGGGUUGCAUCUCUUGGCGCGCGUCAUGCUGUACGACUCGUGCUGUUCUCCAAAGCUCGUCGUAGCUGCAGAUUUAUUUUCUGUAUGUUGCUCAGAUCUACCUGUUAAAUUUGACAACAAUAGAGAUUUUUUUGUAGGAAGGGAGAUCUAUUACGGAGGAAGUAUUGUGGCAUUACCUGUCAAAGUAUACAUUGGAAAUGCUAUGUAUAAAAAAAAUUGCAUUGUAGAGAAGCAGAUCGGAGAGAAAUGUUUACAUCCCCUUCUUCAAGGUUGUCACUGAUUAACAAGUGCAAUUUGCAUCCGAACCCCUUCCCGAGAGCUGUCGGCAGCUCAGUCUGUGUGCUUUCUCGUGGCAAACUCCCAGUGCUCUGGCGUCCUGGAACUAGGCGAUCUCAUCCAUACCCCAAUUAAUCACCACAUGGUUGCAUUACUACCAAGAAGCUUGGAACUGAGCAAAGCUGCAGGGCAUGAUCUAGAUUGAUGCUUGAUGUACACAUGUAAUGUUUAUGUUGUUGGAUGGAAUGUUGAGAGUUUGUAAUUGAUGUGGUAAGGAUGUUAUUGAGAUCUGAUAUGUAUCAGCCUAUGGUAAACUAGAAACUGAGUUAUUGUUCAAUUUGAUGUGUCAAAAAAAUUACAAUCCUUUUUGUAUGGGCAUUAUAGCUUGUUUUUGUUGGCUGUAA